AUCUCCGGGGGUAGAGCACUGUUUCGGCUAGGGGGCCAUCCCGGCUUACCAACCCGAUGCAAACUGCGAAUACCGGAGAAUGUUAUCACGGGAGACACACGGCGGGUGCUAACGUCCGUCGUGAAGAGGGAAACAACCCAGACCGCCAGCUAAGGUCCCAAAGUCAUGGUUAAGUGGGAAACGAUGUGGGAAGGCCCAGACAGCCAGGAUGUUGGCUUAGAAGCAGCCAUCAUUUAAAGAAAGCGUAAUAGCUCACUGGUCGAGUCGGCCUGCGCGGAAGAUGUAACGGGGCUAAACCAUGCACCGAAGCUGCGGCAGCGAACGUAUCACUUAAAGCGAUUCAGCGGGUUACGAUUGACGGAGCGAAGCGACGUCAAAGCGUAUACAAAGUCGAGUCGGUUUAAGGAUACGUUCGUUGGGUAGGGGAGCGUUCUGUAAGCCUG
rnacentral:rRNA from 1 species